rnacentral:tRNA from 1 species
GGUGGCUCGGUGGUAGAGUGCUUGCCUUGCAUGCAUGAGACCCUGGGUUCAAUUCCUCAGCACCA